GACCUGCAUGUCUGUGUGGAGGUGAGAUGUUGUGGAUCAAGUCCCCCAGGCAAGCCCAGAGCCUCGCCCGUCCCUCUGUGCUCCUGGCCAGAGCUUCAGGGUUGUCCACUAAGCAAAACAAGAUGGAAGGGAAGGAGCAAGGAUGGCCCAGCCCUGCCCCUGCCGGCAGGUCAGGUGUCCCACAGGACCCAGGAAACAGGAGUGGGUGGUGGCGAAGUGAGCUCUGCUAGGUGGGGCUGGGGCCCUAACCCAUCUGAGGAGCCCUGGAUGAAUCAGCCCGACCACAGCCGCCCCAACUGCAGCGAUGGUGAAAACAAGCUCUUCGUCCAGCUCCCCCUCCAACACUCAUUUUCCUUUCUUUUCUCUCCCCAGACUCAGGCUUUGGCAGGGUGUGGCACCCGGGCAGUGGCUGAGGGGAAACACCUCUGGAUUUGGUGGUUAAGCUGGGUCCUAAUGCUAGAACUGCAACCUUGAUCUUCAAGAUACUCCACCCAGCAAUGGGCAGUAGCCCUGGCCCGGGGUGGAUGUCACAUACUCUGUCCAGGAGACAGGAUUGCAUAUGUCCAGGGCUCCUGGGCUCACCCACCUGGCAUUUCCCUCCAACAAUACCUGUAGGUCUCAGGAUCGUCCAGUCUUGUACAGUAGAGCCACAUUUUAUAGUGUAGGGUUCAAAGUCAGUGUAAAAACAAAACACAUAAAGGUUACCAUUAAAGUACCUUUAAGCUGCUCCUAAAACACAGUGCACCUACUUUGUGCAUUCUCUCCUGUCCCUCAGCAUCUCUAGCAUAGCCAGAUCUCAUUGGAACACAUGGCUGAGUCUGGAACUAAAUUAUGUUGAGCUUGGGGUAAGGGACCACAGUGUAUAAACAAUACGUAGGUUUCUGUGGUUGGCUGCUGUCUUCUCCGGUAGAUACCCUUGAAUUCGUGGUAGUUAAUGUGCACAUUUAGGAAUUCAGUAAGUACUUGCUUAUGGGCUCCCUGAGCCACAAGAAAGGGUGGAGUGACAGUGCUGUGGGAAUCUGGAGGAAGGAGCAGUUGCUUUUGGAUGGGUUAACCAGGAAUUUCUUUCUCAGAGGUACCCUGUGAGAAAACAGGAGGCGUGGGCUUGAUGAGAAAUUCAGUUUUAAAUGGUGGUUGCUUUUGUACGUUUUUACUUUUCUGAAUAUGUGAGUUUUUUACUGAAAAGCCAUACUGUAGAAAUCAUUAUUUUCUAUUCUUAUUUCUAUGGCAAUCAUUAGGCCAACUUAUUCUUUAUUAUGACUGGUUCUUUCUAAAAUAAUUAGCGGCUUUUUCUAAAAUCAUUAUUGUUUCUGUAACAAUAAUUGUUCUUAAUGUGACCACUUCUUGUUUCUUUAAUGCUUUAAAAACUCCAGCAGCACACUGGUGCAGGAAUGUAAGACAUGAGUCAAGGUAAAAAUGUUGAGGGUGGGUGCGUGUCAGAGCCCCUGAGUCUGCUUAAACCAAUGUGUUCAAUCUAAGGCAGUAGUCAUCAAACUUAAUGGUCUCAGAAACACUUCACAUCCU